rnacentral:rRNA from 1 species
AUUAAGCCAUGCAUGUCUCUGUUCAAGCCAAAUUAAGGUGAAACCGCGAAAGGCUCAUUAUAUCAGUUAUGGUUCAAUAGAUUGUACCCAGUUACAUGGAUAACUGCGGAAAUACUGGAGCUAAUACAUGCCAACAGAGUCCCGACCGGAGACGGAAGGGACGCUUUUAUUAGAUCAAAACCAAUCGGUCGGUCUUCGGGCCGAUCGUGCAGUCUUGGUGACUCUGAAUAACUUUGGGCUGAUCGCACGGCCUCCGUGCCGGCGACGCAUCUUUCAAAUGUCUGCCUUAUCAACUGUCGAUGGUAGGUUCUGCGCCUACCAUGGUUGUUACGGGUAACGGGGAAUCAGGGUUCGAUUCCGGAGAGGGAGCCUGAGAAACGGCUACCACAUCCAAGGAAGGCAGCAGGCGCGCAAAUUACCCACUCCCGGCUCGGGGAGGUAGUGACGAAAGAUAACGAUACGGGACUCAUCCGAGGCCCCGUAAUCGGAAUGACUACACUUUAAAUCCUUUAAGGAGUAUCAAUUGGAGGGCAAGUCUGGUGCCAGCAGCCGCGGUAAUUCCAGCUCCAAUAGCGUAUAUUAAAGUUGUUGCGGUUAAAAAGCUCGUAGUUGGAUCUGUGUCUCGCGCCGCCGGUUCACCGCCCGUCGGUGUUAAACUGGCGCGUUGCGAGACGUCCUGCCGGUGGCGUGCCUUAGGUGCCGCGGUGUCCCGGGCAACCGGGCCCGCGUGCGGCCGGCGCCGAUUUAAUCCUGUCGCGGUGCUCUUCACUGAGUGUCGAGACGGGCCGGCACAUUUACUUUGAACAAAUUAGAGUGCUUAAAGCAGGCUCCCUAUCGCCUGAAUGUUGGUGCAUGGAAUAAUGGAAUAGGACCUCGGUUCUAUUUUGUUGGUUUUCGGAACCAGAGGUAAUGAUUAAUGGAGACAGGCGGGGGCAUUCGUAUUGCGACGUUAGAGGUGAAAUUCUUGGAUCGUCGCAAGACGAACCGAAGCGAAAGCAUUUGCCAAGGAUGUUCUCGUUGAUCAAGAACGAAAGUCAGAGGUUCGAAGGCGAUCAGAUACCGCCCUAGUUUUGACUGCGAACUAUGUCAGCUAGCGAUCCGCCACAGUUCCUUAGAUGACUUGGCGGGCAGCUUCCGGGAAACCAAAGCUUUUGGAUUCCGGGGGGAGUAUAGUCGCAAGGCUGAAACUUAAAGGAAUUGACGGAAGGGCACCACCAGGAGUGGAGCCUGCGGCUUAAUUUGACUCAACACGGGAAACCUCACCAGGCCCAGACACUGGAAGGAUUGACAGAUUGAGAGCUCUUUCUUGAUUCAGUGGGUGGUGGUGCAUGGCCGUUCUUAGUUGGUGGAGYGAUUUGUCUGGUUAAUUCCGAUAACGAACGAGACUCUAGCCUGCUAACUAGUCGAUGAAUUUCAAUCCGCCAUCCUCUUAUGGCUGGCGGCGAAAACCACUCUUCUUAGAGGGACAGGCGGCUCCUAGCCGCACGAGAUUGAGCAAUAACAGGUCUGUGAUGCCCUUAGAUGUUCUGGGCCGCACGCGCGCUACAAUGAAGGCAUCAACGUGUAUCCCUUGGCCGAGAGGCCCGGGUAACCCGCUGAACCACCUUCGUGCUAGGGACUGGGGCCUGAAAUUGUUCCCCACAAACGAGGAAUUCCCAGUAAAGGCGUGUCACUAGCACGCCUUGAUUACGUCCCUGCCCUUUGUACACACCGCCCGUCGCUACUACCGAUUGAAUGAAUUAGUGAGGUCUUCGGACCAGCGCGCGGUUCUCGUCCCUCGGGACCCCCGUCGCAGCAGGGAAGAUGCUCGAACUUGUUCAUUUAGAGGAAGUAAAAGUCGUAACAAGGUUUCCGUAGGUGAACCUG